AGGAUUUGAGGACUCCUUUUUUUUGUUUUUCUUUGUCACUAAUUUUUCCUGGACCACUUCUUUGAAGCUUUCGAUCUAUACGGAUUCCCUAACUUUUUCCUAAGUCCUUUUUUGGUAUUUGACUUAGCGGGCUUUUUUCUCUUUUUUUGAAAGGUGUUGACAACCACAUUAUUGGUGGAUGAGCAUCAACCAACACUAAUUUUAACUUUUCUCAACUUCUUCGAUACUUCAAUAUAUGCGCGAAGGAUAACAUGUGGUUAAACCUAUUUGGAGGGUGUACAGAUGAACUAAUUCUUUU
rnacentral:lncRNA from 1 species